AGCUCCAAUAGCGUAUAUUAAAAUUGCUGCAGUUAAAGCGUCCGUAGUUGAAUUUUGUUCAAUCAGAUUGGAUGCACCGCUACUUUGUAGUCGAUUGCGCCUUUCGCUUUGAACUUGGAGGAAGAAGAAAUCUCGGUUUCUUUUUUCUCCCGUUACUUUGAGCAAAUUGGAGUGCUUCAACCAGGCUAAAGCUUGAACAGCUCAGCAUGGAAUAACAAGAUAGGACUUUGGUUCUUCUUGUUGGUGUCAUGGACCAAAAGUAAUGGUUGAUAAGGACACACGGGGGCAUUUGUACUUGCUGGAGAGAGGUGAAAUUCUAAGACCCAGCAAAGACAAACAAGUGCGAAAGCAUUUGCCCAGUGUGUACCUG
rnacentral:rRNA from 1 species